rnacentral:lncRNA from 1 species
GUUGGUUCGGGCAUGUCCGGCAGGUGGUUCUGUGGAGUGCAUCAGGUGGUUCCGGCAUACUCGGCAGGUGGUUCCAGCAUGUCCGGCACAUGGUUCUGGAACGUCUGAGCGGUGGUUCCGGCAUGCCCGGCAGGUGAUCCCGGAGAGUCCUCCAAGUGGUUCUGGCGUACCCCGCAGGUGUUUCUGGUGUGUCCGGCAGGUGGCUCUGGUGAGUCGAGCAGGUGGUUCCAGCGUGCUCGGCAGGUGGUUCAGGCAGGUCCGGCAGGUGUUUGCCGUCUGUCCAUGACGUGGUUCCGGCAUGCCCGCAAGGUGAUUCUGGAGUGUCCACCAAGUGGUUUUGGCAUAGCCGGCAUAUGAUUUUGGCCUGUCAGGCCACUGGUUGCGGCAUGUCCCGCAGGUGGUUCCGGCGAGCUCGGCAGGUGCUUCCGGGCUCUCCGGCACGUGGUUGUGGCACGUGUGAGAGAUGGUUCUGGCAUGCCCGGCAGGUGACUCCGGAGUCUCCGGCAUGUGGUUCUGGCUCCUCUGAGGGAUGGUUCCGGCAUGCCCAGCAGAUGAUUCCGGAGUGUCUGCCGAUUGGUUCUGGCGUAGCUGGCAGGUGAUUUUUGCGUGUACAGCAGGUGGUUCUGGGGAGUGGAUCAGGUAGUUCCGGCAUACUCAGCAGGUGGUACUGGCGUGUCCGGAACAUGGUUCUGGCAAGUCUGCGAGGUGGUUCCGCCUGCCCGACAGGUGAUUCCGGAGUGUCCGCCAAGUGGUUCUGGUGUACCCGGCAGGUGAUUUUUGCGUGUCCGGCAGGUUGUUCGGGUGUGUCUGAGAGCUGGUUCUGGCAUGUCCGGCAGAUGAUUCCAGAGUGACCACCAAGUGGUUCUGGCAUACCCGGCCGGUGGUUUUUGCGUGUCAGGUAGGUGGUUCUGGCGAGUCGAGCAGGUGGUUUCAGUGUGCUCGACAGUUGGCUCAGGCGGGUCUGGAAGGUGGCUUCAGUCUGUUCAGGGUGUGGUUAUGGCAUCUCAGGCACAAGGAUCUGGCACGUCCGAGAGGUGGUUCUAGCCGGCCCGACUGGUGUUUCCGGAGUGUCCACCAAGUGGUUCUGGCGUAGCUGGCAGGUGAUGUUGUUGUGACCGGCAGGUGUUUCCAGCAAGCCCGGCAGGUGAUUCCGAAGUGUCCAGCAACUGGUUGUCGCGUAGCCGGCAGGUGCUUUUGGCGUGUCUGGUGGUGGUUCCGCGGGUCAAGACAUUUUUCCGUCGUGUCCGGCAGUUGGUUCCCGUCUGUCCGGCAGGUGGUUCUGGGGUUUCCGGCACGAGGUCCUGGCACGUCUGAGAGGUUGUGUUCGCAUGCCCAUCACGUGAUUCUGGCUUGUCUGCCAAGUGGUUGUGGUGUAGCGGGCAGGUGAUUUUGGCGUGUCCAGCUGUUGGGACCGGUGAGUCAAGCAGGUGGUUCUGGCGAGUGUUUCCUGUGGUUCCGGUUUGUCCAGGAGAUGGUUCCGGCCUGUCUGGCACAUGCUUCGGGCACGUCUGAGAGGUUGUGCUGGCAUGCCCGGCAGGUGAUUCAGUAGUGUUCGCCAAGUGGUUCUGGCAUACACGGCAGGUGAUUUUGACGUGUGAGGUAGGUGGUUCCAGCGAGUCGAGCAGGUGUUUCCGGCAUUCUCGGCAGGUGGUUCAGGAGGGUCUGGCAGGUGGUUUCCGUCUGUUCGUGUUGUGGUUCCGGCAUCUCAUGCACAUGGUUCUGGCACGUCUGAGAUGUGGUUCCGGCCGGCCCGACAGUUGUUUCCGCAGUGUCCGCCAAGUGGUUCUGGCGUAGUUGGCAGGUGAUUUUGGCAUGACCGGCAGGUGGUUCCGGCAGGCCCGGCUGGUGAUUCCGGAGUGUUCGGCAAGUGCUUCUGGCGUAGCCGGCAGGUGAUUUUGCAUGUCCGGCAUUGGUUCCGGAGGGUCGAGCCAGUGUUUCCGGCAUGUCCAGCUGGUGGUUGCGGUCUGUAAGGCAGGUGGUUCUGGGGUUCCCGGCACGAGGUUCUGGCACGACUGAGAGGUUCUGCCAGCAUGCCCUUCACGUGAUUCCGGCUUGUACCCCACGUGGUUCUGGUGUAGCGGGCAGGUGAUCUUGGCGUGUCCGGCAUGUUGGACCGGUGAGUCAAGCAGGUGGUUCUGGCGACUGUUUCCUGUGGUUCCGCUCUGUCCAGGAGAUGGUACCGGCCUGUCCAGCACGUGCUUCUGGCACUUCUGAGAGGUUAUGCUGGCAUGCCCCGCAGGUGAUUCCGGAGUGUCCGCCAAGUGGUUCUGGCAUACCCGGCAGGUGAUUUUGCCAUUUCCGGCAUGUGGUUCCAGCGAGUCGAGCAUGCGGUUCCGGCGUGCUCGCCAGUUGGUUCAGGCAUGUCCGGCAUGUGGUUCCAGUCUGUCCGGGAGGUGGUUCUGGCAUGUCCGGCACGUGGUUCCGGCACGUCUGAAAGGUGGUUCUAUCAUGCCCGGCAGGUGAUUCCAGAGAGUCCACCAAAUGGUUUUGGCGUAGCCGGCAGGUGAUUAUGACGUGUCCGGCAGGUGGUUCAGGCGAGAUGAACACGUGGUUCCGACGUGCUCGGCACGUGCUUCCGGCGUCUCCGGCACGUGGUUCUAGCACAUCUGACAGGUGGUUCCAGCAUGCCCGAAAAGUGAUUCCGGUCUGUCCGGUACGUGGUUCUGGCGUGUACGGCAUGUGGUUCUGGUAUGUCUCAGAGGUGGUUGCGCAUGCCCAACAGGUGAUUCCGGACUGUCCGCCAUGUGGUUCUGGCACGUCUGAGAGGUGGUUCCAGCAUGCCCGGCAGGUCAUCCCGGAGAGUCCUCCAAGUGGUUCUGGAGUAGCCCGCAGGUGAUUUUGGCGUGUCCGGGACGUGGUUCCGUUGUGCUCGGCAGGCGGUUCAGGCGUGGCCGGCAGGUGGUUCCAGUCUGUCCAGUACGUGUUUCCAGCUUCUGCGGCACGUGGUUCUGGUACGUCUGAGAGGUGGUUCCUGCAUGCCGGGCAGGAGAUUCCGGACUGUCUGCCAGGUGGUUCUCACAUAGCCAGCUGUUGAUUUUGGCCUGUCUGGCAGGUGGUUCCAUCGAGUCAAGCAGGUGGCUCUGGCGUGCUCGGCAGGUGGUUCCGACAUGUCAGGCAGGUGGUUCCGGUCUGUCCCGUAGGUCGUUCCGGCAUGUCUGGCACGUGCUUCUGGCAUGUCUGAGAGGUGGUUCUGGCAUGCCAGGCAGGUGAUUCUGGAGUGUCGGUUAAGUGGUUCUGGUGUAGCCGGCAGUUCCUUUUUGCGUGUCCGGCACGAUUGUCCUGCCAGUCGAGCACGUGGUUCCGGCGAGCUCGGAAGGUGGUUCCAGGUUGUCCAGGAUGUGUUUCCAGCGUGUCCGGAACGUGGUUCUGUUACGUCUGAGAGGUGGUUCCUGCGUGCCAGGCAGGUGAUUUUGGACUUUCCGCCAGGUGGUUCUAGCAUAGCCAGCUGUUGAUUUUGGCCUGUCUGGCAGGUGGUUCCAGCCUAUCGAGCAGGUGUCUCCGGCGUGCUCUGCAGGUGGUUCCGGGAUGUCUGGCAGGCGGUUCCGGUCUGUCCGGUAGGUGUUUCCGGCGUGUCCAGCACGUCCUUCUGGCACGUCUAAGAGGUGGUUCCGGCAUGCCUGGCAGGUGAUUCCGGAGUGUCCGCCAAGUGGUUCUGGCGUACCCGGCAGGUGAUUUUGGCAUGUCCGGCAGGUGUUUCUUGCGAUUCGAGCAGGUGGCUCAGGCAUGCUCAGCAGGUGCUUCCGGUGUGUCCGGCACGUGGUUCUGGUGUGUCUGAGAGCUGGUUCUGGCAUGUCCGGCAGAUGAUUCCGGAGUGUCCACCAAGAGGUUCUGGCAUACCCGGCAGGUGAUUUUGGCGUGUCAGGUAGGUGGUUCCGGCGAGUGGAGCAGGUGGUUCCGGAUGCUCGGCAGGUGGUUCAGGCGGGUCUGGCAGGUGGUUUGGUCUGUUCGGUGUGUGGUUCCGGCAUCUCAGGCACAUGGUUCUGGCACGUCUGAGAGGUGGUUCUGGCCGGCCUGACAGGUGUUUCCUGAGUGUCUGCCAAGUGGUUCUGGCGUAGCUGGCAGGUGAUUUUGCAUGUCCGGCGUUGGUUCCGGCGAGUCGAGCUGGUGGUUCCGGCGUGUCGGGCAGGUGGUUGCGGUCUGUCCGGCAGGUGGUAUUGGGGUGUCCGGCACGAGGUUCUGGCACGUCUGAGAGGUUGUGUCGGCAUGCCCUUCACGUGAUUCCGGCUUGUCCCCCAAGUGGUUCUGGCGUAGCCGGCAGGUGGUUUUGCAUGUCCAGCUGUGGUUCUGGCGUGUCGAGCUGGUGGUUCUUUCGUGUCCAGCACGUGGUUCUGGUAUGUCUGAGAUGCGGUUCCGGCAUGGCUGGCAGGUGAUUUCGGCGUGUCUGCCAUGUUGUUCUGGCAUAGCCAGCAGGUGAUUAUGGCGUGUCCGGCACAUGGUUCCAGUGAGUCGAGCAGGUUAUUCCUGUGUGCUUGGCAUGUGCAUCUGGUGUUUCCGGCAGUUGGUUCCGGCGUGUCAGGAAUGCGGUUGUGGCAAGUUUGAGAGGUGGUUCCUGCAUGCCCGCAGGAGAUUCCAGAUUGUACACCAAGUGGUUCUGGUGGAGCCAGCAGGUGAUUUUGGCGUGUCCAGCAGGUGGGUCCUGCGUGUCGAGCAGGUGGUUCCUGCAUGCUCGGCAAGUGGUUCCGGUGUGUCCGGCAGGUGCUUCUGGUCUGUCAGGUAGCUGGUUCCGGCAUGGCCGGCACGUGGUUCUGGCACGUCUGUGAGGUGCUUCGGGCGUGGCCGGCAGGUGAUUCCUGGGUGUCCGCCAAGUGGUUCUGGCAUCACCUGGAGGUUAUUUUGGUGUGUCCGGCAGGUCUUUCCUUCUUUUUGGGCUCGUGGCUGUGGCUUGUAAGACAGAUGCUUGUGGCAUUUCUGGCCCCCGUUCUUUCAUACUCCUCAGCUGGUUUCAGUGUUUCUGGCACCUGUUUGUGGCAUAUCCAACAGGUGUUUACAAUGUGUCUGGCAUGUCGUUGUGCUAUGUUUGGAAUCUGGUUCCGUCAUGUCAUUGUGUGGGGCUGGCAUGUUGAAGAGAUGGUUCUGCAGUGUCAGAAUCGCUGUUCCACUGUGUCCGGCAGGUGGUUACAGGUGGUUAUGGCAUGCAACGUGGGUGCUUCUGGUAUGCCUGUUGGGUCAUACUGGCAUGAAUGUGUGGCCCUUUGAGAACGUGUGGAGGGUGUUCUUGGCAUGUCUCCCAGGUUUUUCUGGCACAUAAGGGGCAUGAUUCCUUUUUAUACAUCAGGUGAGUUUGUUCUCAGCUUCCUAAAGAGAUGGAAGGAAGAUGGUCUGUGGCUUGUGGCCCCCUGAGGGGUGGAGCCAAUGCAUUGUGCAUUCCAAUCUAGAGCAAUGGAGGGCAUGGCUGAGAGUAAAGUAAAUGUGUCUUUCUGCCAUUGGUGCUUUCUGACACUCUCCCAACCAUUGCACUUGGUGGUUAUUUAAAAGCCUAUUGUCUCUCUGCUCCUCAGCAUGUGGAACCACAAUCAUCUGGGCCUCAUCCCAAUUGCUCAAGGGGAAGAUGUAGGCAUUUCGUCUGAGCAGGGUUGGCAAGGUGGAACUGUGCAGGAUGCAGAU